rnacentral:lncRNA from 1 species
CGGACUAGUGAGAAUGUGAUGCUUUCUUAUCGUCCUUCUUGAAGUGUACCCUACUCUGUGUUCUCUAGGAGAGUUUUUUUUUUUUUUGUGGAUUACUCUAGUAACUCACCGGUGUGCUUCUCUGCUCAUCUGCAUCUUAAAAUUGUUUCCUUGUAUCCACUUAAAUAUUGGUUUUUCCUGAUCUUCUACUGUUCUGCAGUAACACCUCCGCAGCAGGGUCCUAACAUUAUCCUUCCAUGUGGUUUGUAUCCAUAAAAAAAGACUUGACCACCGACAUGGGCCCAGCAAAUGCCAGUCUACAGAGAACUGACAACACACUUGAGGAAUUGGUGCAACAGCUCCACCAUUCCCUCAUUGCUACCUCUACUGCAACCGUGAGUCAUCCCCGAUUCAGCUUUCCGGUCCCUCCUGCAUCAACGUCUGUAUCAGUAGGUGUAUCCGCCACCAUUUUAGAAAUCCAGUCUCAUCAAUUUUCUACUGACCAUCUGAAGACCAUCACAAGGACUUAAUACUACCCUCAAGUGCCACCUUGCUGAGUACGAUGACUCCAUGGGUCUGGAACAAUUUAUUCAGCAUUCCAUUCGGGUCUGUAACCCAGUGGCCCUGACUCCACUGUCACCUCAGAAGUACACUUCAUGUCAUCCUAUUCAGUUGGACCUAUAGAAGAACACAUUGUAGAGGCAGUCGUUGACUCAGGAUUGGCAGACAGCUUCAUCCCUGGGUCCCCCUACUGCAGGUUCCACCUCUCGACUGUACCCUGCACCUCAGUCCUUUCCAUCUGUUCAGGGUGGGCACUAGGCAUGUUGAGCGUUCUCUUCCUUGAACAUAAGAGUCCUACAACAGAAUUCCAGUACAGUUGGUCCUCUGGUUCCUUCGGCCCUCGAGAUGCUGAUAGGGACCACAAUCUUCACAAAAUUAGACCUCCGCAGCAUAUACAACCAAGGCCACCCUAAGAUCCAGAUAACUUGAGAGAGAGCUCUUUGACUGCAAAAAACUUUCUUACUCAAGUCAACCAGAUCCCAAAGGGUCCUAACAAAGAGGCUUUCUAGUGCCAGAGUCACAUCCAUCUUGGUCCUUCAGCCGUUUUCUUGACUCGAAUUCUAGAGCUUAGCCUCUGCCACUCAGCUCUGGUGUCUAUUUUUAAGAAGUGGUAAAUAAUAUGCAUUAAUUAAAUUACUUUUCUCACAAUAACAGUAUUAUUGAUAAACUACUUAAAGAAAUGCUUUUUGAAUGGCCUUUUAAAACCUAGGCAUACAUGUGCACAGUAUCCAGUAGCAACUCCCUCAUCAAAUUUCUCUGUAAUCCUCUGAAAACUUCAACAGUUAGAACAAUUCAUUGAAGAACUGGACAUCACUAUUAAUGAGUACACUUCCUACCACCAUACACCAAACAUUUAAUUUGUGACCGUAGCAAAGAUAACUCAAACAAUCACUUUAUUAUUUCAGUUAUGCAUUAGCUGCUCAACUCUACUGUAUUGAAAGGUACUUUAAUGUACUUUUUCACACAAAAAUGGUGUUAACGGGGUGGGUUAUAGAUCAUAGUUUCAAAAGCCUUGUUUCAGAUAAGUGGGCCGUCAACAUAAAGACAGAACGGUUUAAAUGUCUUAAGAGAUAGUAUCUGGCCUAAAGUAGGAGUAAGUUUGAAUAUCUACAAUUUCCAACUGUAUUGAUAUUCAUGCAGAAACAACUGUAUCCCAGUACUAGGGUUAAGAUACCCUUUUUUUUUUUUUUUAAUUGCUUUGGUACUUUUCACCGGUAAGUUUCUUUUCAAAACUCUUAAUACAAAGCUCCAAACUGACCAUACAGCUCAUUUAAAGAUUAGCUUGAAAAAGACCCAGAGUCAAAACUGCAAUAAAUUGAGAAACUUUACUGUAGUAUUUUCUAUUCCCCACUACUCCAUUUAUUAAGAACUAUAACUAUUUCUGAAGCAGUGUUUCUCGACAUUUUAAUGAAGGCACGUACAUUUUCAAACUCUUCCUAAUCAAACACAUCUAAUUCCAUGCGUCAGCUUGUUAGUGGAGAUUCCAAGACCUGAAAUAGAUAUGUUAGAUAAGGGAGACAUCCACUGUGCUGUUGGUGUGCCUCCGGGAACA